AUCGAAACCUUUUUUCUUUGGUCCUAAAUUUGCCUAAUGUUAUUUGAAUCUGAGCAAUACAUAAAGCUUGUCUAUGUUGGCUUCUUAUCUAAUAAAAAUGGCAUCUUUCAUUUCUUUAGUAGAUUUUUAAUAUGCCCUCCAUAAGACCAUUGCUAAUGUCUAUGUUUCACCUCUUGGUGCAUGCUCAGUUAAGAGGUGCAUAUUCAAG
rnacentral:misc_RNA from 1 species